ACAAUGAUACUCCUGUACGCAGCUCCGGGCGUUCCCCGGAGGGGUGAGAGUCCCGUGA
rfam:Clostridiales bacterium 52_15 Ley3_66761_scaffold_41043, whole genome shotgun sequence.